GCCACUCGUGUCUCAUUUCCCACUCGACAGUGAUCUGUGAUGGACUGCUGCAAGUUAGAUCAAUGAAUUUAUAAACGGACUUGUUCAGUGAUUUUGUGUAUACAAUGACACAUAGAACGAUAAUUCUGGUGCUCUGCAUGCUAUUAGCAUUUAAUGUCGUAUUGACGUAUGUUUUGCCGCCAAAAAACUACCACAGAGAAGAUAUUGAAGAAAAUAAGUUGAACAAAUCUGCCAUAGGUCAUUCGCAAGAUUAUAUUAAAUAUAGCUAUCUUAUAACGACAUACUUAUAGUACAAAUUGAAUUGUAAAUGUUAGUAUAAGUGGUUAUAGUCAGUGAUAAGUGUUAGGUUAGAAUCUCAUAGCUUGUAAUACACCUCGACAAAAAAUAGCGCUGUUUAGUUUUAAAUGAUUUCUAAUAUUUUAAUAAAAACUUUUUCAAAUA